rnacentral:lncRNA from 1 species
AUGAAUUAUUCACUUCAGCAGCCCUCAGCUAGGAUUAGGUUUGAAAACAGGGAGCCUUGGUUCUCAUCUUCACUGCCAAAUGGGCCAGUUUGCCUCCCCUUCAUGGGCACCAUGAUGGAAUGGAGGCAAGGACUGACUGGCUUCUGUAAGGGAGACAAAUGCUGGGCUAGAAGAAAUCAAAAAGACACUGGGGUUCUAACACUGGAUCAAGUUGAGUGGAGUAAGUUGAUCAGAAGGAGAGAGGUUGGUAUGAGUAGGGAGCUGCAACAUGGCUUCAGGAGUAAUUUGAAGGGAAGGAAAGCAAAGGAACAAAAUUUGAAAGAGGAACUUGGAGGCUGGAAACAAACUGGGACCAAACUGGUCACUGGGGGAGAGGAGGAAGAAGGUAAAACAGUUAUGGGCAUAAUGUUCCAAGAGAGAAGAGGUUCUUAGAAGAAUUUUGAUGUUGAAACUUCCUGGUAACACAAAUUCUGCUUCUCUAUCCUUCCCUGUGCUGAGUGCUAGAAUGGAAGAAGUGGACUGAAGGAUUUUCCAUUGAGCUUCUGCUUGUUUGUUUUUUGUUUUGUUUUUUUUCAAAAGUAGUUGUAUAAUUGUCCCAAGUGUUGUCAUUGCUAUCAGGAGAAGGAGCAGGCUGAAGUCAGGAAGUGCCUGCCUGACUGUGCAGUCUGCACCUUAAUGAAGAUAAUUUGUGUUGACACAUGGGCUGUCUGUAAAUCCCAUCUUCCCUGCAAAGGAGCCUAGGCUGGAUGGAGUAGAUCCCUGGGGCUGCUGAGAAGGGCAUCACAUGCCCUGCCCCUCCAACCUGCAGGAUGUGCCUGCUCUGGAAGCUGGGAGAUGGACAUCUGUCUCUGGCUCUGUGCAGUGGCCUCCUCCAGCCAGCAGCUCACCUUGCACACCGGGAGAGCUUCACUGCAGCUUUAGGUCAUUAUACAUUAUAUAUUCUGCUGUGAGCUCCAGGAAGGUCCCUUUUCUUCAAACUCACACUUCCUUACUAACCCCGAGCCCACUGCCCAACCAGAGGCUGGAAAGUCCCAGUUCCCUUGACAAGAUGGCAUAAGAAUGCAACAUCAUGGAAGGGUGGUUCCUCUCCAUCUGCAAUAAAAGAUUGUGAAACCUUCCCUAUGUUCCUAUA